ensembl:snRNA U2 U2 spliceosomal RNA
AUUACUUCCUGGCCUUUUGGCUAAUAUGAGGUUCUUAUGUGUUUAAUAUCUGAUAUGUCCUCUAUCCAAGGACAAUACAUUAAAUAGAUUUUUGGAGCAGGGAGUUGGAAUAAGGAGGCUACUCUUGGCCCUGGUGUUGCAAUACUUCCAGGAAUGGUGCAGGCCCU